rnacentral:tRNA from 1 species
GGCCCAGUAGCUCCAUUGGUUAGAGCACUGUCCUGAUACGCCAAGGUUGUGGGUUCGAUCCCCAGCUAGGGCA